UAAUUACUUAUAAACCCCUGGAAAGUUUUGAAAUAUCUUAUACAUUUCUAUUUUUUUAAAAUAUACUCUUUGUUUAUUUCUCCAUUAUUCAAAAAAUAAUUCUGUUGUUAAUACCCAUUAAGUCAUCUCAAAUCAAACUCAGAUUAAAUUUCUACCAAAGUUAAAAAUAAUUUAAAAUAUCUCUUUUGAGCAAAUAAGGAAAAAAUGAUGAUGACAAAAAGUAACUUGAAAGGGCAAAAUAGUAAUUUUAUAAAGAUAACGGUUAUUCCUAACAAUUCUACAAUAGAAUCUAACUCUAUGAAUAUAUUUAAAAGAAUCUGAAAUAUUAAAAUAAUAUUUUUAAUAUUAAUCUUCUAAGCGGGGUAAAAAAGAAAAGUCUAAAAUUUUUCAGUAAUAUAUAAACAAUUGACCCAACUUAUUAAUAAUAAAAAAAUUAUUUUUUUAUAAUAAAUAAGGAAAUUUUACCAAUUUUAUUAAUUCAAAGUGGUAAAUUUUACUAUUUUAAUCAUUAAUUAUAAAUAGUAAUAAGAAAUGGUAAAUACUAUUUUUACACUUUUUUGCAAUUUCUUAUUAGUAGAAAGAAUAAAAAUCUGCUGUUAUUAGGUUACUAACAAUUUAUCAGAAUUUUGUGUCAGAGAUUAUCCAACCUCCGAAAAAGUAUUUAAGAGGUCAGAGAUUCAAAAUUCUGUAAUGUUUUUUAAUAAAUGGGAUUUACGUCUUAGGUCCGUUGAGUGGUGUUUCAGACUUUAUUUAGGAUUACAGACAAAAUAUAUUAUAUACGGUGAGAAAAAUAAUAAAAAACAUUUAAAUUGUUUUCGUCGAUGAUAAUACAUUACACAAGUUACACUAAUUCGAUUAAGAUAAUACUGAAGUUCAAACACACCAUUAACAUAUGCGGAAUUUGUUAGCAAAAUGUAUUACUUAUUGUGAAAGUUGUGGAAGUGUGCUAGAAAAAUAUUCCAUCUGUCUCCUACAAUGCCAUUAAAUUCUGAAUACCAAAUAAGUCUUUAAUAUCGAUAGACUUAGGUUUAGUUUGGUAUUGAGGUCUAUCUAACGCCAUUAAAUAAAAUGGAGCUGAGAAAAAAAGCAUAUAGGGAUAUGCUUCUGCGCUCUCCGAUGGGAUCGCAGAAAACAUAUCGUAACUGGCUCAUCGCGAUAUGCAGAACGCAAUAUUAUGUAUAGAAACAAACAGGCUAUUUUUCCAUUGUCGUUUCUCACCGCACGUAACGUAAUCUCCCCGCAAUCCCAAACGAAGCCUUAGCAGCAAAUAUGCAAUUUCGCUUAAUUAAGUUAUCUUCUUAAUUUCACUUAUCAUCGCUCCAUCCGAGGCGGGUCAGUUAGAAGCACAUUUUUGAUUGAUUUUUAACCGAUUGGAACGGACCAAAAGAACAAUAAAGUUUUCCGCCUUUCACUUCAUUUCCCAAUUAGAUUAGGUUAGAUGCGACACGACUUCCGAAAAAAAAAUAGAAAAGAUAAAAAUAUACAGAACUUUUGAAUUGUCUAUUUAAUCUUUUAAAAUUAAAAUUUUAAUUUUACUAUCAAAUCUUUCAACUUAUUUCUUAUUUGAGCCUGUCGAUAACAUUUUGGCUUCAAAUUUGAAUUUACAGUUUAUUGUUUGCAGAUUUAAUUAGUAUAUAUUUCAUGCAAUUAUUAUAAUUAUAAAAUUUACUAAAAUAAAUAAUUAACUUAAAUUUUAAAAUCAAAAUAUUAUUUACCAACUAAAAUCAAACAAAUAAAAAUUUGUACAAAAGAAAAUAAAAUUUUUAAGAAAAAUAAAUUUUUUCUAAGACCAAAUUUAGAAGCAUAUGAAGCUAAAGAAAAUAAAAUUUUUAAAAAUUGAAUAGCCGAUUCAAAAUAAAUUUAUAAUUCAGAUAAGUUCAGUAAAUUAUUAAAAAUUAAAAAAAAGAAAAAAAGAAAAAAGAAGAGAGAGCUGGCAAGUUGGGGUUGAAGAUUUAACAGCACACCCUUGGAUAGGGAUGUCAAUGGGUAUGAAUACCUGAAAUUUAUUCGAACCCGAAUCCGAAUAAAACGGAUAUAUCCGAUGGAUAUGGAUAUGGAUUUGGAUAUGGAUAUAAAAAAUAAAAACCCGACGGAUAUGGAUUCGGAUAUAGAUUUUGAUUGUACCCGAUCCGAACCCGAAUCCGACCCGAACCCGAAUUUAUUUUGUAUUAUAUAUAAUAUAUAUAUAAAAAUUUGAUACUAUAUUUGAAUUUGUAUUUUAAAAAUUUAAAUUUAAUAUAAUAUAUUUUGAAAUAUUGAAAAAAAAAAUAAUUAUUUCGGGUUCAAAUUUUCGGAUUCGGAUUCAGGUUCGGGUUUCGAAUUUUUGAUCGGGUUUGGGUUUGGAUAUGAAUUUUUAAAAUCCGUCGGGUUCAGAUUCGGGUUCGGGUUUCGGGUUUGGAGUCGGAUUCGGAUUCGGAUUUUUAAAAAUCCACCCCAAAUCUGACCCGUUGACAUCUCUACCCUUGGAAGACUGGCAGCAGCGUAAACGGCGGAGCAAGUCGUGUGACCGUCGGGCAUCUUCAAAUCCUUUUAAGUAAAAUUUAGGUUGAUUAUUACAUAUAUAUCCCUAUAAAAUUAUAAAAUUAUAUAUUUGUCUCUAUAAAGUUUUAGUUAGGGUAAAUUUUAAUUUGCCUCAUUGUUAGCGAUUCAAAAAUUGCACCCAACAACACCUUGGUUUAGCUUAUUUUCACUUUGCUACUUUAUAGCUCAAAAAAUUUUACUUUAUCCCGUGUAAUUUAGCUUAUUUUUACUUUGUCAUUCUCAUUCAAAACUUUUCACUUUAUCAUCAUGUAAUUUUUUUUUUUGAAAAAUAUUUACUUUGCCACCUUAUUUUUUAUGAAAUUUUAUGGUAAAAUAAAAAUUAAAUCACAAGGAGUAAAGUGAAAAUUUUAAACUAUAGAGUGGAAAAGUAAAUGGAGUUAAUUACAUACAGCUCCCUAUAAACAUAUCGAAUAGCAGACAUAUCCCUGCAAAACUCAACUUUUUAUUUUUCUCCCUAUAAAAAUUCAGUGAUAUUCAUAUUUACCUCUAUGAUUUAUUACCGUUAGAGCACUGUUUAUUUUUUAACAGCAGAUAAAUAAAAUAAUAUUUUUAUCCUUAUAAAUAUAUCUCUCCAAAAGUCCCACCUGCUAGAAUUAUAUAAAAAUAUCAUUUCAAAAAAAUAUUUUACCUAAUACGCUAAUCAGGGCUAAGUAUUUUUGCUUAUAAUUAACUAUAUUUUUAACGGAUUUUAACAUUGGGGGCAUAUUUGAAAAUAUUAGGAUUUUUUUACAGGAAUAAAAAUAAAAGGUUAAAUUUUACAGGAAUAUAUAUGUUAUUUGAUAUGUUUCUAGGAAGCUGGAUGCAAUUAGCCCAAACAAAUAUGUAAUUUUAAAACUUUGUAGGGAUGCAUAUGAAAUUAACCAUCCCUCAAGGUUUUGACCUUUCUCUUUUCUCUUCUCACUCUACUCCGUGUUUGAUUCAUCCCCACAACACGAGAGAGAGAGAAAGAGACCUUUUCCUCUUCCUCUUCCUCUUCCUCUUCUCUUACCCUGAUCUCUCCGAAUCCCCACUUCUCCAUUCUCGCCAUUGGCGAGCUCGAGCUCGAGCUCGCUCGAGCUCAACACUGCCACUGCUGGGAUUAAUUUGGGCCCCCUCUUCUUCGUCGUCUUCUUCUUGGGUACGUGCGUUUCUUGAGAUUCUCUCUCUUUGUUUCCUGCUUUUUUUUCUUUUUUUUUUUUUACUGUUUGAUUUGAUGGGGUUUGGGUGGGUUGGGGUGGGGUUUGGUUUGGUUUGGUGGAGAGAUCGAUGAGAAGACUGUAGCUGUGGUUGGGAUUGUAAUUGUUCUGGGAAGGAAGUCUGCCAACUUUUCUUUUCCUGGUUUGGCGAGUUUGGCAGUCUGGAUAGAUUCAAGAAAGCUAAAAGCCAAAAAAAAAAAGAGAGAGAGAGAAGGAAAGAUGGGUAAUGGGUUGGAGAAUGUGAUGAGAUAGUUGUUGUUCUUCUUGCCAUUUUGAGCAGAGUUUCUCCUGCUUAAAUACUCACCCACUUGGGGAAAGUUGGAAUCUUGGUAAGAUGUAGGGAGUUUUAGGAAGUGCUGUUUGACUAGAGCUAUUAUUACUGCUGCUGCUGCUGCUGAGAGAUUUAGGCUCAGUUUGGAACUGCGGGGUGUCUAAAAGCACAUGCUUUCGUGCUUUAGAAGGAAGGACCGAGAAAUGUGAAUGCAUUUUCAAUCUGCUAGUGGUGGGAAGGCCCCAAAAACUAAAUCUUAAUGAGCUGUCUGGAGUUUUCUCUGUAGAACUGCUGUUUGAGUAGAGCUACUGAGAUAAUAAUCGUCAACAGCCUCUGCUGCUGCUGCUGCUGCUGGAUUUAGGCCCGGUUUGAGAUUGCGGUGUCUAAAAGCACAGGCUUUCGUGCUUUAGAAGGCCCGAGAAAUUUGAGAGCAUAUUUCACUAUUCUUUCCUUCAUUACUAUAAAAAAGGUGUUGGGAGUUUUCUGCAAAAGUGCUGUUCGAAUAGAGCUACUUAAGUAAUCCCUAAUUGUCUCAUUUCCAAUAAUAUCCUCAGCAGCUUCUGGUGCUGCUGUUGCUAGAUUUAGGCCUAGCUUGAGAUUGCGGUGUCUGAAAGCAUAUGUUUUCGUGCUUUAGAAGGUCUGCGAAAUUUGAAAGCGUUUUCAAUAUUCCCUCCUCCAAUACUAUAAAAAGGUAGCGGGAAGGCCCAAAAACUAAAUCGAAUCUUGAUGAGAUGUCGAGAGUUUUCUACAUAAGUGCUGUUUGAAUAGAGCUAUUUCGAUAAUAAUCUCUAACUGGUUCUUUUCCGUUACAAUGUCCUCAACAGUUUCUACUGCUGCUGCUGCUGCUGGAUUUAGGUCAGUUUGAGAUCACGGUGUCUAAAAGCAUAUGCUUUCGUGCUUUAGAGGAUUCAAGAAAUUUGAAAGUGUUUUCAAUAUUCCCUCCAUUUUCCAUUACAAUUGUCUCAGCAGCUUCCGACUGCUUCCAAACUAAAAGACUUCAAAAUAGAGCUUCUACUUCUAGGCCAAGAAGCUUUUGAUGUCUUUUCUUUCUUUCUUUUCAUUUUUCUGCAUUAGAAUGCUUUCCUUCUGCUUCUUGAAUAGACAAGAAGCUGUGCCAAUUAGGUGCUGGAUUUAGCUUAGGUAAGAAACUACUCUUUUCUUGGAAAUCCAUCCAACAGCUUCUUGCUUCUGCUAGAGGCAAAUGCGUCGGGUUGGAGCUUUUGCUUUUGGAGUCUAUAGGCUAAAUUUAGCUUCCCCUUCUUGAGUCUAACUAUUCAAAAAGCCAAGCCAAUUAAGCAUUGGAGUACAGCCAACUAGAAAUCAGCCUACAUUUUUGUUGCAACUUUUGAUGCAUAUUGUCUGUUUUAAAGUUUUUGGAACUUACACAUAUGGUAGUGCUUCUAAGUGUGUUAUCUUUUAAAAGCUCCAGUUGCUCAUUUCUCUGAAAUUUCUCAUGAGAAGAAUUUACACAAUAUUUCGUGAUUGUAACUCCUAUUUUAUAUGUUGUAUAUUAUGGAAUACGAUACAAUGAUCUCUAACCUUAGUAUCAUCUUGCGGUGAUGGAAUAGUAGAUUGUCUUUUCUGUUUCCUUCUUAACUUUUCCAAUACAAAACCGACCGUCCCUCGAGCAAAUGGCAAAGGGCUUGGUGGUUGGUAUCCGAGGUCCCAAGUUCGAAUCCUAGUUGAUUCACAUUUCUAGCUAAGUUUAUUUCUAAAUGAAAUAAACGAAGCGGGUAGCGUGCUACCUAUCUCUCUCAAAAAAAAUAUACUUUUCCAAUACAAAAUUGUGCUAUAAUUUAUUGGGAUUUUUAGGAAAACUUAUUUUCUUAUUUGUUUUUUUAUUUGAUCUUCGCUAUUCUAAUGUAGUUUGAUUUCUUACUUCACAGAAUUCUUCUCGGUACUCUAUAAUGUAUCAUCUCCGCCCUGGUCAUGCAAUAUAUUGCACUUGUGAAGUCUAGACUGCUUAUAUUCAUGAAGAUCUUAGACAUUGAUUUAUUAUUCGCAAACUGGAGAAUGAGGAUUUGGAUAACAUAGUGUCGUUCUGCAGUCAUACUGGAAAAUGGUAAUACAAUCAAUACUGUAAACCGUUCUUUUUCGAUCCUCUGAUUAUUUGUAGCUCUGAAAACUGUUGUGUGACUUUUGAUGUUUGAUUUGCAGAAUGCAUAUUCAUUUAAGAUUUCUAAGUGGUCGCCUUAUCCACUAAGAGUGAUUCUUAUCCUCUUUGUUGCGACAUUUGGUUUGUACAUCUGCUACGUCUCUAUGAACGAGAUCACAUUAGAGAGAAACGCAAGGGACUUUCUAGUCUCUUUGAAGGAAACGGAAAAUGUUUGCAGUGUAAGUGGCAUCCAACCUGAGGAGAUGCGAUAUAUCCAUUUUCCGCAACCAGCAACUUAUAGCAGGUAGUCCUUAGACCUCUAUUUGCAUGUUUGGCUGAGCUUCCAGAGUUGCUUCUCUACUCGAGAAGCCAUGGCAUGCCAUCUACGAACAAAUACUCUGGAGGUUUUGCUGUGGAGGAAGAUGACAGGAGGUUAUUGGCCUCAAAAGUAGAAGCUCCUACUUGAAGCUUGUGCUGCUUUGGGAAGAUUUUGGGAGGGUUUUUCAUGCAAAAAACUAGUGUAAAUUACACCAGUGGUCAACAAAGUUGAAAUGAAAUUUCUUAUAUGUUACUAAACUUCAAUUUGUUUUCAAUUGAGGCAUUAAAACAUUAAUCUCUGUUUCAAUCAUACGUCACUUCGUUAAAUUCCUCAUUUUUUGCUUCAUUUGCUGCAUCAUUUUUUGGAGAUGAAUGUGUAUGAAAUGAAUUGGCCUCAAAUUCAAUCGUCAAAUAACCUCUGAAUUAUAAUAGUUUCGAGAUGAUGUAACAGUUGAAUCUACUAAUAGUUAUUACUUUUGUGAAGAUAGCUAACAGUUAUUAGUUAUUAGCGUGUUAUCGCUUAGCUGUUGAAUCAACUAUCACAUCAUUACUUAUAAAAAUUAAUCGGAGUUCUUGAGUGACCAGAUUGAAACACAAAUUAAAGUUCAAUGCGUCGACUAAAACAAACUAAGGUUCCAUGACCGAUUGUGUAAUCUACCUAAAAGACUAGAAUUGCUUCUUCAAACGACUCUACUAAGAUGGCAUUUAUUCAUAAGCUUCAGCUGGGCCUAGCAAGCCCUACUUCUCUUUAUAACAACUCACUGAUUUUCCUUAUUGGCCUUUUUUUUUUGGCACAGGAGUGAAUGCUCAUGUUCUCCUGUCCGCUUCUUUGCUAUCAUAUCUAUGCAAAGGUCAGGAAGUGGGUGGUUUGAGACUCUGCUAAAUAGCCAUCCGAACAUCAGCUCAAAUGGUGAAAUUUUUGCGGUCAGAGAGAGAAGGGCUAAUGUUUCGUCUAUCCUAAAUACAUUAGAUACGGUGUAUAAUUUAGAUUGGCUCAGUAGCGCAGCAAAAAAUGAGUGCACAGCUGCAUUUGGCUUGAAGUGGAUGUUAAAUCAGGUUUCAGUUUUUCUUUUCCCUGCAUAUAUUUUUGUUGUGUUGUCAUUUGUAUAUUACUGCGCUAUGAGUGCAAAAGCCGUGUUUUGUGUCUUUAGUGUAAACUGAUUUUUUCCUUUAUUAUUUCAGGGCCUUAUGGAUCACCAUGCUGAAAUAAUUAGUUACCUUAACAUGAAGGGUGUUUCGCUGGUAUUUCUCUUUCGGAGGAAUCUCCUUCGCAGGCUCAUUUCUGUUCUGGCGAAUGAUUAUGAUAGACAAGAAAAGCAGUUAAAUGGUACUCAUAAGUCUCAUGUCCACUCGAAAGAGGAGGUUCUCUCUCUCUCUCUCUCUCUCUCAUUUUUUUUUCCAAAAAUAGAAGCUGGUGCAUAUUCUCCUUCUCUCUUGCUUCUCAUGUUCACCCUAAUAGCUGCCACUCAUGUUAUGCAGAGGCUUAACUUUCUUUUCAUGAGGUGUAUUAUAUAUUUUUACACUAGUAUAACCGUUGAAUAUAAAUACUAAAAACACCAAUGUCUAGCAACUUAAGCUUUUGGAAAAUAACAGUUAUUUCACAUUCCUUGACAUGGUACCAAAAUAAGAGGUGCCACCUGUUAAAUAUAAAAAUAUAUAAAUAUCGUUCUCUAACAACUUAAGCUUUUAGAGUAUAACGGUUGUUUCAUUUAGUAUUAGAGCAGGAGGUUCUGAAUUCGAGUCAUAUCAGGCUCCUAGCAUUAUUAAUUUUCUUCCAUUUAAUUCAAAUCUAUGUCAUGGGCUUUGCAAAAAAGUCUCGAGCCCAGACGUGAGGGUUAAAUAUAAAAAUAUAUAAACACUUCUCUAACAGCUUUAAGUUUUUAGAGUACAACGAUUGUUUCACACCACCAGGAUUGUUGCUUCAUUUAAUUUCCUUCCAUUUAAUUUAGUUUCAUGGCUUGGGCCUAUCAAAAAGUCGUAAGCCUGGACAUGAGAGUGUUGAAUAUAAAUGCUAAAAACAUUGUUUGCGGGUAGCUUAAGCAUUUGGAGAACAACGGUUGUUUCACAUUCUUUAACAUUCUUUAACAGUAAUUUUUGAAUGAUUGCGGAAUUUGAAAUAUCAAGGGAUGCUUCAGCGUACACAGCGCAUUUCAUUCUUUGUUCACAUAAUUGAUUAGUGAAGGUUCCAAUAGUAGUUGGAUUGGAUAAACCAUUAACGAAAUAUGUUCUUGACUUGCUCAGGCCGAGAUAUUAGCACGAUUCAAGCCGAGGAUCAACAUAGCUUCUCUAAUCUCUGACAUUAGCAGUGCCGAGAAAGCCAUCGCAGAUUGUCUGCAGCACUUCAGCAGUACCCGCCACAUAAUACUGUACUACGAGGAUAUCGUCAACAACCACAACGUAAGAUAAUGCUGUAUUCUGAGAUCUUUAAAGAUGUUCUUCUCAAAAGUCAUGUACUUAGAGAUUUAUCCCCACAAUGAAUUCCCCCCUGAAAGAAUUGAAUGACUCGCCAACUCAAGACACUUUCGAUGUAUAAAUAUGAAAAUUCAGGUUCUUUUUCCGGUAUAUCCUUUAGUUGAUAGUAACAUUACUUUUUACGCAGGCAUUAUCUCAUGUACAAGAAUUUCUAGGGGUUCUGAUUGCGAAAUUAGUUAGUCGGCAGGUGAAAAUUCAUACGAGGCCUCUUUCGAAGCAGGUCAUGAACUGGGAGGAUGUGACGAAGACGCUUAAUGGGACGCGGUACGAGCAUUUUCUUAACCAUGCUGAUUGCGAUUUUUAAUAUGGCGGCUUUUAUUUUUUCGAUGUUUGAUACCCGUUUUUUCUUUUUGCGAGAAUCAGUAGGUUAGAAAGAUUCAGAAUUACUUUGUAAAGGACUAGUGCUUUGCUUCUAAUAGCAUUCUUUAAUAUAGGAUUUGAGUUCAAUCUGCUAAUUGUGAGAAACUAGUUGUCUGCUAAUUGUGAGAAACUGAUUUGAUUCUGAAAUGAUAUUUGUUUUUGAUUGAGUUUAAUAUGUUUUUUUCUUUUUUCUUUUUAAUGUCUGAGUUUUGUAGCUAGGUUUUAAGUGCCCAUUGGCACCGCCGUGCUGUAUUGUGUUAAUAAGAUAUCAGUAUGAUACGAUCUCUGUGCUAGUGACACAGCUCGACAUCCUUUUUUUUCUUUGGCAUUAGUGAGUAGUUAUCUCAAUAAAGUGCAAAAAAGUUGAUAAAGAUAUAUAAUCAACAAUUAAAAUAUAUUGGUCUUAAAAAAAUAAAUAUAUUAUGUUAUAGUGUGUGUUGACAGACAGGGAUUUUUGGAAAUAACACAUUUCGACACGGCACCUGCCAUGCUAUACCAUGCCAGCAAAUUCUGAGCACGAUUCUGUGCCAUGUGUCGCGACAUUUAAAUCCUUGCUUUGUGGAGCUCAUCAUCAUUCAACAUUUUUGUGUUUUUAUAAUUUGGAGUACACAUUAGUCUGCAAUCUACAUGUGUAGCCUCUCAAAGCCAUGAAAUUUUCCUAUCAAGCUAAGGAAAAAAGUUCAAUCCAAAAUCAACAAUUUCCUCUUUUAAGUUUAACUUUCUCUUUUAUUGAGUUAUUCAAGUUUAGUUGAAAAUAUUGUUACAUUUAGUGACUCUAUUAGCUAUUAGGUGUUCACUGAUGUAAUCAUUGAUGAAUUUAAUGAAAAUUUUAAUAUAUUUGGCUAAAAUUAUUAACAUAGUUUUUUUUUAAAAAAAAAAAAAAAAGUUAAAAGGGUUCUUUGAUUCUACAAAUAAAGUCUUUGUUUGACAAAAUUGUAAUACGGUGCUUCUUCUAAAAGCACUUCUCAGAGUUGUCCCAAGAGAACUUUGGAGUAAUAGAAUCAUUGUGAUCUAUGCAAGGUGCUGUCACUUACAGGAAUGAAUUUUAUAUAUAUAUAUAUAUAUAUAUAUAUAUAUAUAUAUAUGUUAUUAUCGUAAUUUCUCACCACACAUAAUACACCAUGAACUGAACAAAACCUUGAACGAAGAUUCUAAAAUUUAUUUAUGGUAAGAAGUUCAAUUAGCAAGUAUGCCUCAAAAGUGGAAACUCUAAUAUGAAUUUUUUACGUGCCCUACAUUCGAUAAAUGCACGGAACAAGGAACGGUGGGUAAAUAAUUGAAAAUAGAUAAAAAUGUAAGGAACUUUUACCUCAAUUUUAGACCAUUUCGAUUCGACUAUCUAAAUUUUCAAACAUUUAAUAUCAGUAUCCAACCUUUCAAUUUGCCGGAUUUAAAUCAUUUGAUAGUUUUGCCAAGAUAAAUUUGUGGUAUCGUCACAUAAAUUGCAUAAAAUAUACUAAUUAAAUCAGUAAAGAUAAAUGGAGCAUUCAAAUUUUGAAUAUGAAGAGUCAUUAACUGGCUCAAAUCAAAUACAUUAAAGGACUAGGUAGCAAAAUAAAAAAAAUUCACCUUAAAACCAAGCAAUGCACAUGAAUCAACACACAUUCAUAUGAAAGAGCAACUGAUACAAGGCAUGGAUAGAAUUAUCUAACUGUUGUAAAUGAUACAAACCAAUGAAGAUAAAUGGUGUAAAACAAUCCAAAUCCUCAUCUAAUAAAAGACCAUAUUUUGCCGUCGAAACCUAGUUUGAAACUGUAGUAAUGCACAAAUGAAUGAUACUGAGAAGAUGAAGCCAACUAGAUAUAUAAAAGCAACUCUUUCAUAUCAUCAGAAGAAACAAGCAACCCAGCAACAACAGCAGAAGCUGGUGGCAAGGAGAGAUUGCAGCAGCCCAGCUGGACCCAGAAGCCGGCGAAAAGUUCCCUGUGGGUGUGUCAGUACUGAGCACUACAACCACCCAAUUACCUUCGUCGGCGAUCCCGACCCCCGCGUAUUUCGUGUCGUUGAGAUACUCGUUGUACUGGGACUUGGUGAAGUUGGUGAGGACGAGAUCCGGGGUGAGGCCCGGGACGCAGGCGGGCAUCACUUCGGCGUCCUGGGUGACGGUCGCGUUGAGGUGGCAGUGGUUCAGGAAGUCCAUGUAGUUGGGGAACUGCUCCUCCGUGCCGGGGACCGUGUCGGAUCCCGUGGUGUUGCUGCACUCCUGGCCUUUGAAUUGCUUCGCCAGCUGCUCGGCUAGGCAUGCCGCAUUGGAGUUCUCGGUUAGCGACGAGAGGUUGAGUCCGGCCCGGUAGUCGUUGAUGCCUUUGAGAAGCUGAGUACUCAUAUCUACAAAUGUUACGAAAAAAAAAAAAAAGUUCAGAGACUCAGUUGCAAUAAAGGGAUAGUCGAGGCGACUAUCCAUACAAUACAUGAAAAUACAAGAAACUAAAAUUUUUUACACACUUAUUACUAUGAAAUGGUGGUGGGAACCGCCACCACGGAAGCAUCCCACUUGAUGCUUCUCUACUGGCGGUUUCCAUCAACAUUAUAAAUCAUCAUCAGAGGAGGAGGCGCUCUAAAGCACUUUUGGAUUUUUUUUUUUUUCUUUUCGGACUAUCUACAGCCUAGUUUGGUAACGCAGUGGCUAAAAACACUAUUUUUUUCCUCAAAAUUCCAAAACACUUUCACUCUUUUCUUCUUUAUACUAUAAAAGAACAGUUGCAACCGCAAUUUUAACGCAUUGGAGGAGAAAAAAAUUCUGAGCGGUUUUAAAAUUUCCCUCUCAUAGUUAGUGCUUUUACCCACUACAUUACCAAACUAGGCUUAAAGCUUUAAAGAAAAAGUAGUCGGACAUGCAGUUCCUAACCAAGCUUAUGAGCUACAUUCCAACUACAAAUCAAAACAGAAGGCUCAAACAUCAAUUUGUAAAUCCGCAAUGAAGUUUGGUUAGUAUGUAUUGCUUCCCUGGGGCCAUGGUCUCCAAUCAUGGUUAGGGAGCACGAUUCGUCAAUCUGAACUUACUUACGCCGAAGGAUUUCCAUCUUAUACUUCCAAUAAUAAAUAUUCACCUACCUGGGAUGUACUUGUCGGCUAUAAAUCAUACUUCUGGAUUGUUCCGCUCACACGUACCAAUAUUGGUCCAGAAAGAGACAUAUGAUACGCAUUUUCACAACUCCAGAUAGAUUAAAGAGCCCUAAGCAUGAAGGUAUCGGAAUGUGCACUCGACCCUAAGAAUAUUAGAGAGUAACACAGAUGAUAUGAACAAACAAAGGGAGCUGAAUCUUAACUUUACUAUGAUCAAGAUGUAGAUGGUGGUUUGGACAGAGGGUUUCCACGUCGAUCCCCCACCUUUUAAUUUUUACAAUCAAGUCCCACAUCGUUCCUACACGGCUAUUUCCAUCGGAGAAGAGGGAAACGAUGGUUGCAACCGCACCUCUUCAGUCGAUAUGUGGACUGGUUCCGUCCAAUCUAACGGACGUUUCGACAGAAGAGCCCUAGUUGAAAACAACUAAUAAAUGCGAGGGAAACGAUCUUUCGAAAUUAACAGGUUGCGGUGCCAAAAUGAAGUGAAAAAUCGGGUGAUUGUUGAUCUCUCAAUGAAAUGGCUUCAUGAAUGUCGUCUAUUUCGUCAGGAGAAAGAAAUGCAUACGACGCCGAUGCUACAAUAUCUGAUAACUAGCUACUAUUUCAGGAAUCAGAUCUCUACAUUGUAAGCUGGAAAUCCAAUAAACCUUUUUCCGAUCCCGCCGAAUGGAAAAAAAUAUAUGUAUAUGAAAAAGAAUACCAUACAAGAUUUUGAUUUAAUUUUCUUUUCACCAGUAGACCCAACAACAGGAUCAUAACAAUAAACUAAAAAGCAGCAGUAUUAGAUCACAAAUCAGUCAGAAACUAGAUCUCUACAUUAUCAGUUUGCAAUCUGAGAAACCGUUUUCUGAUUUCGCUAAUUAAGAACAAUGCAGAUUAAAAUCCACAAGCUUUGACAAUUUUUUUUUUUUCUUUUUACUCCUCUCCAAUAGACAAAUAACAAAAUCAUAGGAACACAUUAAAAGAAACAUAAAAUGAAAUAUUAAGCAGUGGGAAUGAAAAAUAAAACCUCAGAUGAUCCACAACCCCAAAAAUUACCCAAAAGUUACAGCAUUUCCUGUGGAUCCAAACAGAUCUACUCAACUAAGAUGACAAAACCAAGUAAAUACCUCACCAAUUUACAAAAAUUAAAGAGACCCAUUUCUCUCCAUUUGGUACUAACUACAUAACAAAUGCAAAAAAAAAAAAAAAAAAUUGAUAGUCAAAAAAAAAAAAAAAAAAAAAAAAAAAAAAAAAAAAAAAAAAAAAAAAAAAGAAGAACUUUUUAACAGAACUAAAAGAGACUCUCAUUUCUCCAUUUGGUUCUAAUUACAUAAAAAAUGCAAAAAAAAGAAAAGAAAAAAAGAAGAGAAACUAGUGUGGAAAAUGAAAAUAAAUUUAAACUUUUAUAGAGACCCAUUCCUCCAUUUGAUCCUGGACAAAACACCACACCAUUUGCGAAUCUAAAAGAGACAUUUCUCCCCCAUUUGGUUCCGAUCACACAAUGAAUCCCAACAAAAAAAAAAAAGAAGAAAAAACAGGGUGGAGAUCGAGCGAGAGAUUUACCAUCAGAUUCGGCGAAUCCGAGGAGGAACACGAAGAGAACGAAGUAGAGGAGGGCGAGGCGAAGACCCAUCUUUGAGAUCCGGUUCUACUCUCCUCUCCUCUCUGUCUCUCUCUCUCUCUCUCUCCUCGUUGAGGAGAGAGAGAGAGCGAGGAAGAAGAAGAAGAGGAGACAUCGCUUUCACAACCACCGAGUUAUUAAUUAUUAAUUAUUAUAAUUAUUAAUAUUUUUGUUUAAUUAGUUGUUGUUAAUUACUUUUUGGUUAAUUAAACACUUCUUUCUCCGACGCGCUUCACCGAAGUUGUCGGUGCUUCAAGGGUGAAGUGUUAAUUUCUUUCGUACCCUCCAAAAAAGUUAUAAUUUCAUACAAGUCCCUCUAAAUUUCAAAAAUAGAAUUAUGCGUGGGGGGUGACUGGUAAGGAUGUCGAUGAAUACUAGAGGUGGCAAUUAGGGGUGGAAACGAGCCGUGCUCGAGCGAGCUUACCUCGGCUUAAAUUCGACUUGAAAUUAAUUUCGAGCUUAAAUUUAAGCUCAAGCUUGAAUUGAAAUUAAUUCGAGCCGAGCUCGAACGAGCCUAAUUUCGAGUCGAGCGAGCUCGAGCCCUAAACGAGCCGUUUGAAAUUCUCAACGUCAUACGCUCAAUAGUUUAAUUUGUAUAGAACAUUAUCUAUAAUUGGAUACAAAAAUAUGUCUAAUAGUUCAAAGUACAAAAUAAUUAUAUAAAAUAUAGGAUUAUAAUAUGAAAAAAAUAAUUUAUGAGUUGAAUAUCUAAUCUUUUCAGCCUCACAUAUCUUGUUUUCCAUCUUCAAUCUCCAUAUUAUUCAUUUUCAUUUAUGCAGUCAAAAAUAAAUAAAUUAUAUAGAUAAAUAUUGAAUUAAACUAUCCAAUCAUCUAUAACAAAAAUUAAAAUUUUAUAUGAAUAAUAAUUUUUUACUUUAAAAAUAUUCUGUAUAUUUUCUCAAGCAUACAAUUAAUAGUAAAGUAGGCAACGGCAGGCAUAUGCUGUUAUUUGAUAACUUGGAGGGCUUCUGGUUUGGCCACUUAGGGUGAGAGACAGAAAAAGAGAAAGAGAGAAACAUAUUGAAAAUUUAGAGUUCUGUGAAAGAAAGAAAGAAAGGAAAAAUAUAUAAAUUUAGUGAAAUUUUGCUCUUUUAUUUGUCUAUUUGGUUUUUUUUUAUGGGCCAAUAACAUUGGCCCAAUUUUAACUAAACUCAGAUUAUUCACUCAGCCUAUAUAUAAUUAAAAUAUAUUAUAUUUAUAUAUUUUUUAAUAUAUAUACUAAUACAUUCGAGCUUUUCGAACACUUAAUCGAACGAGCCGAGUAAUACAACUCGGCUGGAAAUGAAUUUUGAGCUUUUUUUUUUUAUUCAAGCUCGGCUCAUUUAAUUUCGAGUCGACGCUCGCAGCGAGCCAAAUAUCGAGUCGAAACGCGAGUCGAACAGCGAGCUGACUGGCUCACUUGCCAGCCUAUUGGCAAUACCGCUCGCUGUUCCGCGAGCCAGCUCAUGUUCGGCUCGAAAUGAGUUCGAGAUCGAAUAACGCUCUUUUUUUUUUUUUGGUAAAGAGCCGAACACUGAGCUGAAUUAUGUUCGGCUCGUUUAAUAAACGAGCGAUACACAAGACUGGGUUCAGUCGCUUGUAGCUCAGCUCGAUAACAGGCUCGAGAUACAUAAUAUUUAUAUUAUAUAAUUUAUUUAAUUUCUAUUUAUAUAUAAUAAUAAUUAUAUAUAUAAUAUAUAUUUUUAAUUAUUUAACUUUUAGCAAAAUUGAAAAUAUAAGGCCGAGCUUAAUUAAUAAAAAAUUUAUUAUAUAUAAAGUCUCCAACUAAUUAGUCAAAUAGUCUAAUGAUAAAAUUUAUAAAAUUUAUUUUUUAUAUAUACAAUUCUAACUUUUCUUAAACUUAUAUUGCAUUUGCUCAGGCUUAUACUGGCUCGUGUCGACCGUUAAUAACGAGCCGAAUACGACUAAAAUUUUCUAGCUCGAUACUUUAACGACCAGCUCCGUGUUCGGUUCGUUUAUCUAAACCGAGCCGAACACGAGCGGCCGUCGCUGCGAUCAUCGUGUUCGCUCGUAUACACUCCCUAAUGAAUAUUGAUAUCCAAAACUUUAUCCGAAUUCGAACCGAGCGGAUUUAUCCGAUACAAACGGGUAUGGUUUAGAUAUCAAAAAUAUAAAAUCCAACGGAUGUGGAUUCGGAUUUGUAUGCCUGAUCGGAAUUCGAAUUUAUUUUACGCUACCUAUAAUAUGUACAUAAAAAUUUAAUGUUAUAUUUAAAUUUGUAUUUUAAAAAUUUACAUUUAAUAUAAAUAUAUUUUGAAAUAGUGAAAAGAGAAAUAAUUAUUUCGAAUUCGAAUUUUUAGAUUAUGAUUCAUGUUCGGGUCUCGGAUUUUUGGCCGGGUUUGGGUUCGGAUUUGGGUUUCUAGUUCAUGUUUUUGAGAAUCCGCUUCAAAUCGAACCCGUUGACAUCUCUAGUAAUCGGUGGCCAUAGAAGGUGUGACACUCUGCGAUGGAAUAGUAUAAAUUUUUUUUAUUCAUUUAUUCUUUGAUUAUUAUUUAAAAAUUUAAAAUUUAUUUCAAAAUUAUCAAAAUGCCCUUCUAUAUAUAUCCUAAUUUUCAUUAGUAAAUCAUUUUGUUCUAAAAAUUCAAAAGUUAAAAAUUCGUACCACGUGGUUUAGCGCAAGAGACGAUUCUUUUUGAAAAUUAUAAAAUAAUACAGUACAGAUUAAAACAUAUUAUAUUUAUAAAAGCAUUACAGUUCUUACUGUUUAAGGUACCGUUUGAUUCGGGUAUAAGCAAGAACUAGUUAUUACAGGGAUAGGUACAAGUAUGGGGAUAAGAAAAAUAGUGUUUGGAUGAAAAUUAAGUUGUUCCCGGGAAUAAGAACAAUUUUAGAUAAUUUUAUAUAGAAAAUGAAGGUGUUGGUGGGAAUAACUGAGAAUUACUAUUCUUGGAUAAAAAAUUAGUGUUUGGAUAUAAAAGGGAGAUAAAGGCCUAUUCCUAUUCCUAUCCCCUAACCAAACGCUGCCUUAAAAAAAUAUGCUAAUUAAGUGCAAUUUUUGAAAUUAUAAAAUAAUAAUAUAAAACACGAUAAACUACAAAGAGAAAAAAAAAUAAAAAUUUAUCUCUUUUUUGGACUCAACAAAUGCAUGGUUUUUACUUUUUUUUUCUUUUUCUUUUUUUUUUUUUUUUUUGAGAGAGAGAGAUAGGUAUAGCAUGCUACCUGCUUUAUUUAUUUUAUUUAAAAAUAAACUUAGCUAGAAACACAAAUCAAUCAAGAUUCAAACUUGAAACCUCGAGUACCAAUCAUCCAGCCUUUCGCCACUUGCGUUAGGGACGAUCGAGCUAUAGUUUUUAUUUUUAUAGUGACAAAAUGUCAUAAAUAAUUAAAUAUAAAUUUUGAAAUCAUAGAAUGAUAAUAUAAUAAUGCGCAAACUACAACAAGAGAAUAAAUUGUUUUUUUUUUUUUCUUUUUUCUUUUUUUUUCCAUGGGCUUGUUUAUUUUAGGACCAAUUGCUUAUAAACCCUGAAAAGUUCUCAACUUUCUGAUUUAUUUUUAUUAUAAGACUAAUACUGAAAAUAUACCUUUUUUACGUUCCAACUAUUUCAAAUAUAUCCCUAGAAUUAAAUUUCGUUAAUGACUGUUAGUAAUAACUGCUAUCUGUAUGAAAUUACUAUUUUGUCCUUUCAAAUAUACCCUUCCAUUGUCACCGACUUUUUUUUCUUGCUCUUAAGUUAGGGAUAUAAAAAGUAUUUUGAUUUUUGAUCUUUUCAAAUAUACUUUUCUAUCAUUACCAAUAUUUUUUAUUUGUCUUUAAGUUAAGGACAUAAAAGGCAUUUUAUUUUUUUUUUUUAACUCUAGUAAAUAUUUAACUCACGGAUGGUAACAAUAAAAAUAUUUUACGGAUGGUAACAAUAAAAAUAUUUUAGAAUAAUGGAAGAACAUAUUAGGAGCAUAUUAUAAAGAAAAUAAAAAAUAAGGAUAACUAAAAUAUUUUUAAAAUUCUGAGGGGUAUAUAGGUAAUUAUCUCUUUAUUUUACUUUUGGUAAGAGUAGAUGUGAAGUCGACUACUGUCGGCAACAAUCCGCUGCGUCGCCUUCCAACUACUGACUGAUAAAGCCAAGGACAGCUUAACCGCAUCAUGACGUUGAAAUUCGUGCUGAUUUUUUUUUUUUUUUUUUUUUUCUGAAAGCCUCAGAUGCGGGGACGUGUGUUAUUUUUAUCUCAAUUUAAUAAUUUAUUAGAUAUUUAUAAAUUUUUAAAAAGUAAUUAUAAUUUUCGAAUAAAAAUAAAACUAACAUGUGAUGAUAAAUAAAGACUUUUUUUAAUAAGGUAUCGUUCGGUUAAAAUUUUUAUUCCUUUUUAAUUCUGACUCCAAAGUACGAAGGCUGGUUGGCCGAGUCAUUUUUGCAGCUGCGGAGACUGGUUGAGUCGAGUCAUAAUUGAGACUUGUAAGCACUAUAUCUAUAUAUUUGAAGUGAAUUGAUUGUGAAUUUUUUACAACUCGAGCUUUUGGAUUUAAUAGUUAGCGCCAACGAUUUGACAGAUUUGCUUUCAAUAAGUCGUACUUAGGUUUCGUUUAGAAUUGUAGAAAAAUAACAAUAUGUGCGCUGAAAAAGUACAACGGAAAAAAUACGCUACUUGUUAUUGUACAUAAUAUCGCGUUACUUAUAUCAAUGAGUCGGUUAUGAUAUAUUUUUUAACCCCUCAUUGAAAAAAGCAAAAGCAUAUCUCUAUAUAUAUUUUCACUCCAACUCUGUUUUAUUUAUUAAAAUUAGAUAGGUCUUAGAACCAAAGGGGCCCCUAUACUCCUGUAGCUGCAGUUUCAUUUUAAAUGUGGAUAUGGAAAAUGAAAUGAAAACAAAUUUUUUUAAAAAAAUCUCUUUUUUGGCUGUAAAUACCCACUUCUAUUGUUGGUUUACUGUCGCUUCACCUUCGGUCAAAACUCAAAAUCUUCAAAAUAACAUUAUUAACUUCGGCCCACCGUAAGUCAAAUUCAUUUACAGAAAAAAAAAGUGAGAAAAAAUAAUAGCUUAUUAACAAUAGAAAAUUUGAAUUUUUACAUCAUUUACUUUCUCAAAAAAACCAACAAAGCUCAAGCAACUUUAGUUCCACAAUUAUACAAAUACAAAUAAACAGCGAAAGAGAAAUAAUUUUUAACCUAAAUUUUAAUUUAUCUGAAAAUCUACUUCAACUUGAAAUUUAUCUUCAGCGAAACCCGAACUUUUUGAAUUAUUGCAAUUAAGUUCUAUAAAUCAAUUUAGUUAACUAAAUAUUGAUAUAUCACGAAUGUAAAAGUGAUGUACUAGUAUUAUAAUUGAUAAUAUGCCAAUUAUUAAGAUAUCAUAUCACUUUUACAUCAGCGAUAUAUAAAUAUUUAGUUAACUAAAUUAAGUGGUGGGACCUAAUUAUAGUAAUUCUAAAAGUUCGAGCCACAAAUUAAAAUUUAUCCAAAUAAAAAAAAAAAAAAAAAGUGUUAGGCCAAACAGGCACAGAGCCUAUGCCGAAACCGGAUUCGGGCUCCAAAUGUGUUAAUUUGAUUCGGGUUGGACCAAGUAAUGUAAUGGUGUCCCGGACUUUAGCCAUGAAUAGGGCUCGACCCAAUCCGACCCGGCCCGACCCGGCCCAUCACAUUUGUAGUUCAAGUUAUGCACCCAAUUAUCUACAUAUAAUGUGCAUCAAGUUACAAGUUUAUGGGUGUUCUUUCUUUGCCUGGGUAGUGAACCAUUAUGCAGUUCUUAAGCAAGAUGCGUUAACGGGUCAGAUUCGGGUCGGAUUCAUUGCAGAAACAAAGUAGUUUGAUUUGUAUCUUACGGAAUCUCAUGUUAAUACUAAUUUUAAGUGGUUUCCUAAUUUAAUUAACUAAAUACUAACGUGUCACUGAUGCAGAAGAAUGUUAUAGUGUUAUAAUUGAUAAAGUGGCAAGAUUAAAAUACCACAUCACUUCCACAUCGAUCAAUAUAUUAAUAUUUAGCCAACAAAAAGAAAACUUGACUGUAAUAAUUUAAAAAAUUCAAGCCAGAAAUUACUAUAAAUUAAUAUUUGAAUACCAAACUGGCUAUGCCUCAUAGUUUGAGGACCAACAUUGCAUUUUACCAUUGGGUAACUUCAAAUAGCUCCCUGUGGUUUAGCUUAUUUUUAUUUUGCCACCCCAUGAUUCAAAAAAAAUUUACUUUGCCCCAUGUGGUUUAGUUUAUUUUUACUUUGUCAUUCUGUGGUGCAAAAAAGUUGCACUCACCCUUCCAAUGGUUUAGCCCAUUUUUUUUUACUUUGCCUUUCCGUGGCUUUAAAAGAAAUUUACGCUGACACCUUAUCUCAUAUAAAUUUUUUUGAUAAAUAAAAAUAUAAAUUAAACUACAGUAGAAUAAAAUGAAAUAUUUUGAGCUGCAGAGUGACAAAGCAAAAAUAAGCUAAACGACGGAGAGCGCAAUUUGAAGCUCACCCUUUAUAAUUUUUAAUAAGAUCAUAAUUAAGGGUCGUUAACACUAGGGGACCAUUAUCAAAUAUAACAUCAAACAUACAUAUAUCGAGUCCGGCUACUAUGCUAUCAAUAGCACCAAGUGCUUGGUGUUACCAAAUUUUUCACCGUUAGAUAUAUUUAUUUUAUCAUUUUCAUCCGUUCGAUCAUACUAUUCAAUCAAUUACACACUCAAUUUUGAAGGACCACUGUCAUCCUAACCGCACAUCUUUUUAUCAAAAGACCGAAAACCUAAUAGUAUCAACGACUUAGUAUUGUUAUUCUCUCUCUCUCUCUUUCUCUCUCUCUCUAUAUAUAUAAUGUAAAAUCAAACUGAGUUGGGGUAAAGUUUAGGUUCGAAUUCGGGUCAGGUAUAUCUAAAUUCAGAUUCGACGGAUUUUGUUUUUGAUAUUUAUAUUCGAAACUAUAUUCGUUCAGUAUCGAAUAAAUAUGCUUAAUUCGGAUUCUAAUUCGAAUUCGUAUAAAAUUGGGGAUAUUUGUACCAUGCACAUCCCUAAUCCCCAUACUGAGGGUUUUAUGACUUUAUCCCACAAGAAAGAAUUUAAGUGUCGUAGCAUGGAGGCGUGCUGGAAAUUUGCAUGUACGGUACGAUACUGUGCGUACCGAACUAUGCCAAUGCAUGCCGAUCACAAAAAAUAUGUGUGCCGACACAUAAUGGUAUGAAAUAUUUAUUUUCUUUAGCAAUAAAUUAUGAUAAUUAUUUAUUAUGUAUUUUUAUCAAGUAUGUUGAACUUUAUUAAAAAAAUUACUUACUAAUUUUAAGAAUAGAGAGUUUUGAGUUGUAUCUUCGGCACGAAAGUUGUAUCGUAUCGAUAUCUUGCUGACACAAUACAGCACGAUGGAUACGGCUCGUGUUAAUACAUAUUUUAAUCCUGGCCCACAAGUGACGCUCGUAACAUUGACGUGUAACCAUUGAAUUCAAAAUGAUGUACUAUAAAUUUUGUGCAACGUUACUCUUUUUAAUUAUUUUUUAUUUACUAUUUAUUAUUAUUAUUAUUAUUAUUAUUCAGAUGGUCCCUACAGCAUGCAUGUGAUGCACAAUUAAUGAUGAAAAAGAAUAUAAAAAGAAUGAAGCUUUGAACGGAAGGAAAAAAAAAAAGUUUUUUUCGGCCCACGUGGCGUGCUCUGGAAAGUUCUAGUGGCCACCAAAUUUUGACUUGAUAAAUACGUAAACGUGAAAAGUGCACGAAACUAUGUUCUCUUUUGACUCAAUAACUCCAUCAUUAAAAAAAUUAUUUUAAUACUUAAUUUUUUAAUUUAUAUAAUAUUAUAUAUAGAGAGAGAAUAGCUACUAUAUUUUUAUGAAUAUAAAUUUUUUUAUACUAAUAAAUUUUUGGUAGCUGGACGAAAGAAUGCGCUGUUAGGAUGAUUGUGGCCCCUAGGGUUGAGCGGGUGGUUGGUUGAAUAGUAUGAUCUAAUGGUGAAAAUGAUCAAAAGGUAGAUCUAACGGUUGAAAACUUAUAAGCAUAAAUGGAUCUAUACUCAUAAGAGUAUAGUAGCCAGACUAUAUAUAUCUAUAUUUAUAUCUAUACUAUAUAUAAAAGCACAUAGGAAUUCCGACAAUGACAGACAGAAUCCAAAAAGGAAUAAAAAAAUAUUCCCUAUAUUUUUUAGGAACAAACCGGGUAUGAUCACUUACUUAAAAAAAUUUCAAAUAAGAACGAAUGGUUAUAAUUAAUCUGUUAAAAAGUAGCAUUAUUAUCCAUCUAUAAAAGAAUCCAAAAAGAAAUAAAAGAAUAUUCCCUAUAUUUUUUACGACCAUAUAUGAUCACUUAAUUAAAAAAAUCUCAAAUAAGAAUGAACAGUUAUGAUUAAUCUGUUAAAAAUAGCAUUCUUAUCCAUCUAUAAAUCCAAUCUUACAAACGGUUGUGUCAAUUAAAAAUGAACGGUUCACUUAAUUAAAAUAAUCUCAAAUCAGAACGAACAGUUAUGAUUAAUCUGUUAAAAAAUAGUAUUCUUAUCCAAAAAUUUUAAUUUAUAGUGGAUAAAAAUUAAAUUUUAAAUUUUGAAAUAAAUAUGAAUUAAAUUUUGAUGCUUUUUGUUUUAAAAAUAGCAUUCUUAUCCAUCUAUAAAUCCAAUCUUACAAACGGUUGUGUCAAUUAAAAAUGAACGGUUCACUUAAUUAAAAUAAUCUCAAAUCAGAACGAACAGUUAUGAUUAAUCUGUUAAAAAAUAGUAUUCUUAUCCAAAAAUUUUAAUUUAUAGUGGAUAAAAAUUAAAUUUUAAAUUUUGAAAUAAAUAUGAAUUAAAUUUUGAUGCUUUUUGUUUAAAACACAUAUUUAAAUUUUAGAUCAUCAGAAAUAAAAAAUAUAUAUAAAUAUUUAAUAUAUGUAAAAAAAUAUAGAAUAUUACAAAUAUUUUCUAAUAAAAUAUAACAUGAAUUUAUAAAUUAUAAAUUUUUAAAUAAAUAUAAUGUGUAAAUUUAUAUUGAUUUAAAAUAAAUUAAAAUAAUUGUNUAACCGCAUAUCUUUUAAUCCAAUGGCUAAAAAUCUACAAGCACCAAUAACUUGGUACUUUUAAAAGCAUAGGAGCUCAAUUCUAUAUAUAUAUAUAUAUAGUGUGGAACUACUAUACUUUUGAAAGUAUAAAGGAAUUGGUACUUUUAGCCACCAUUUGGUUCAGGAUUAAGUAAAAACUUGUUAUUCCAGGGAUAGAGUUAAGUUCAGGGUUAAGGUAAGAUUAGAGUGAAUUUGUGUUUGGUUGAGAAUUCGGUUUAGUCCAGAUAUAGGUAAAAUAGUGUUUGGUUGGAGUAGGUGGGAUAAGAAGGAUAGUGGGUAAAAUAGUGUUUUGUUUGGUUGGAGUAGUGAGGUGGGGUAAGGUUAGCUAAUCCCAUUCCAAAUAGGCUAUUCUGGAAUAGCCGAUUUGGGAUCGGGUUAG
rnacentral:lncRNA from 1 species